AUGCCACAGCUGGAAUCCCCCACAUUCCUCCCUGCCGGGGCUGCCCACCUGGCUGCAGCUGGCAGCAGGUGUGUUCUUACAAUGCAGUUACACAAACACACACAAGGCCUCACAAAGUCUUAUACAUCUUUUGGGUCACGGUCACAGGUGCUCUCAAAAUCAGCCAUAGAAAUGGCACACACAAAGUCACAAAAAGAUACACAGACCACACACACCCAGAGACACUCAGACACACAAGAUCAUCCACGAUCACACCCAGUUAUGUCACACCGAUACCCAAAGACACACACAGGCAUUCCCAAUGCACUAGUGGGACACUUAGGCCAGUCCGCAGCUGCACACAAAGUUCCCACAGACACACACUCACAAGUGCCCUGGCAGCUCAGCCUUGCCAGGGCCGAGGACAGGCAGGCGGCGGGGCUUCCUGUGGCUACUGCUCAUCUGGAGGCAAGAGAAGGAGCUGGGGAAACAUUUCAUUUGCAGCCGGCUGGAGACCCACCCCACCCUCCCUGGAAACCUGGCCCCGGCUCCUGAAUGGGGCCUCUGUAUGCCGCCACCGCCCAGCUGACCAGGGUGUGGGGAUCAGGGGGGUGAGGCCGGCCACACGGAGUCCCUGGCUGAGCUUCAGAAGCCACCCAGCCACAUGCCAGGGCCCUAGCUAGAGUCCCCCAGACCCAAGGAGUCCUCUUCCCCCCUCCCCCCACCACAUCUGGAGGCCACUCCCCAAACCCAGGCUGCACAGGAAGGCAGAGGGGCAAGACAGGGCCCCAGCUGGUGCUGGAUCUCCAGGUGUCCCAUCUCAGGCCUAAGGAUGUCCUCAGACUGGGCAGCCACCAGUCCCCAUGCCAUAAGGCCUCUCAGUCCAGCACAAAGACAUGACACCAUGGCUAUAUGUGACAGCAUAGCUGAGGAUGUAACAGUGUAGCUGUCUGUGACAGUGUAGCUGGGCUCCCAGUGCAGCCUAGGGGUGGGGAUGGGGCAGUCAUAGCCCCUUGGCUCUUGUCAUCACACACUCACUAUCACACACAUAGUGUCACCAUCACACCUUCCAUCACACAGCCACACACAGCCACACUAUCUCAUCUUCAGCCAUACUGUAACACACAACCACACUGUCACACAUGCUGUCACACACAGCCAGGCUGUCACAUCUUCAGCCAGACACAGAGCCACACUGUCAUACCUUCAACCAGCAACACUGUCUGUCACACCCUCAGCCAUGCCGUCACACACAGAAAUACUGUCACAGCCUCCAUGAUUCUGGUCACAUGUACCUUCAACCACGCUGUCUCACACAUCCUCACACUGGGUGCCCCUGCAGCUCUGCUAGCCACAUGGCCACAUGGAGUCACUACCUGACUGGUCACAAGGAGGGGAAGCAGAUCUGAUCACUUCAUCCCCAGGGUGUAGCAUGCACCUGCCCUGCAAGCAAUGUUUAAACCAACCAGUUGCAACAAUACUGCAACAACACACCCUGAUUGUCACAGAGCAGGUAGCCAGCAGGUACAGGCCACUGCCGAAUUGCUCACAGACA
rnacentral:lncRNA from 1 species